rnacentral:sRNA from 2 species
AUGCCCCGCUCAAAAAGUGUGGCUGCAAGCAAACCCUGGGAUGAAAUCAAGCCCCACGGACUAGUAUUAGACCAGGAUGCAAAAUCUACGAUUUCAAGUGCAUGAACAUCCUAGAGAACCCUGGAUUCAAUUUCUGUGGACAACGAUAUAUAGCUUCACGUCCGAUGCAUUAAUAUAUUUUGCUAUUUUCUUUUUGGGACCUUUCAAAGUCAUCAAUGGUAUGUGUGCAGCUUUAUAUAGAAUUCUUUAAUUAACGUUUAAUACAGAAUAUGAAAUGAGCCAGGCAACCGAGGUCAAGAAGCAAUCCUGAAAUUGCUUUCGGUUCUCCUGUGCGUGGCUUCUCUAUGGGAAAGUUAAGUGAAUAUCACGGGACACCAUCACCCAUAUUCUUUUCAGGACACGGCAAAAAGCCAUUCAGAUGACAUACUUUCCGUGGAAUUAGCCUAGGGUAAUGCACAACAGAGCUUUGGGUUACUUACCGGAAUGAAAAGAUAUGGAACUCUGCGUUCAUACUCUUCCCAAGCUGCACCAUAUUUUAUCCGGCAGCGAUGGAUAUCCCUUCGAGCCCGAUGGAUUAUCAUCACGGUAAAAAAUACUGGAUAGAACCAAGGGAAAGGCGAUUUAAACCCGGUGAUUAAGCCCCAGCAACCCGCAAAAUAAAAGUCACAUGUGUAAUGCACCUUGCGCGCCAGUCCGACUGUUGACGAAUUCGCGAAAUCUCCUGUUUCGGUGCGGAUACAUUCCGGGUUUUUGGCAACUUUCCAGGGGAGUUGUGGGAAUGUUUUGCGAUCCACCAUGAAACCAUGUUCCUGCGCCCGAAACAUAUUCUUCUGACUAUUACUUGUAUCCCACACCCAAUAAGCAAAGAUAUACGAAACGUAAAGGAAUGCCAACGCCCAAGGGCUCCAGUGAUAAGUCGACGGAUGGUUCCUAUCCAGGUAUAGGGUGCAGUGGCAGUAUGUCAUUGGUACACCGGCCAUAUUCCAGAAGAUAAGGAGGAAGCCAAGUUUCUCAUAGUACAUGUCCCUGGCUGGAUGUUAGCGGUCUGGCGGAGCUAUAAUUACAUAGAAAACUGCGGGUGAAAGCAUACCAGCUGGUGAUGAUGAGUUCUUCUGCCUUUGCGCAUGCAUUGGCGUAAAGGAAAUGCGCCAUGAGGAGGAAGCAGACCUCUCCAGAAACAUAACCGAGCUGUUCAAACUGUCUAAAAGCUGCUCCCAGUGUAAAAAGGAAGAGCAAAUACCACGGGAUACGGACUUCGAGGAACAUCUUGAUAUCCAACAAUCCAAACAUACGCGGAUUAAGCUCCGCGCCCAUAAAGAAGUCAUAGAUAGCGGACCCAGUCAUGCGAUGUUGUACACCUCUCGCAAUGGCCGAGAAAUACGCUACAAAGGAGCAGAGAAGCCCAGAGCAGAUCGCCACGCUCAUCAAGGGUCCGAAUUCGUCGAUGAGCGUAUAUAACUUAAAGACACCGGAUACAUGCAAUCCCACAGCCACGGCAAUUGUCACGUACCAUGCGCAUAGAGCUGAGCAGUAGUAGUCAAGCUGCUUGCCGCCCAAGUGGGCCAGCCGUUUUCCCUUGCCAUAUACGCCGGGGAGCAGAAGAUAACCAGCGCCUUCGAGCACCAUCAUUGUCCAAUAUAUUAUCCAGGCUUUUCGAUGCGGGAAAGCAUGAGUGUAUGCCAGAUCCACUAGGUGCACGAGAAACUCUGAGAAGCUUUGGCCCUCUUCUCGAGUGGGAAAUUUGCCGUCGUAAAACGUCGCCCCGAUAUACAUGUAGUACAUGAUCAAUGGAGAUCCGAUCAUUAUAACACACGCACCAAACACACCCCCGAACUCAAACUCGGCCUCAUCAUCCGUUGAUGCUAUUGCUGUUGUGUUUCCUGGGUGGAUGGCAUUGGAUUCCUUUUUGCGCUGGCGGACCUCACUACAUUGCCAUUCAAAGUUAGGAUGUGGUGCUUGAUGUUUUGUCUACAUCUGCGAUGUGGAAUUUCAUUGUAAAUAGGGAAAUGGCUAGGUACGACAAAAAAAGGGGGGCUGUCGAGUGCAUCGUCGCUUACCUCCUAGCCUCUUGUCCCGCCAUACUUUGACUAGCCCGGCGAAAUAUACGCACAAGAUCCGACUCUUCAGUUCAAAUCUGCGUCAGAGAUAAAAAGGAAUUGGUUUCACACUUCAAGAGGCUCGGCAAAUGCAAUAUAUAUAUAGAGCUCGUGGUAUUUAUCUGGAAAUUGCAUCUAUUGCUGGGCGACCGCGGACACCGUGGAUGCCGUGGACCCCGUAGACUAUACGGAGUAGAAUGGUGUAGCCUCCAGUUGGUAUAUAAUUCAACGAUAUUAUGGCCCUCAGCAGGGGCUCAUCCGCAUGGCAUGGAACACAGUCGCGCGAACUCCGCGGGUUCUUCUCGUGGGCUGGAGAGUCUGAAAAGUGAACGACCAUUUUCAACCAAAACGGCAAUUCACGCGGGAAGCACACACAUAUAUCCUCCUCAGCAACGGGAGAUCCAUUGGUCUCCUCUGUGUUUUGGCGCAGAAAGCGGGGAUCUCCUACCAUUGUAUGAAGCCUUGGCAUCGAGGAGACUCAGAGAUGCCAAAAACAUUUCUGUGGCCCGGAUCGUCGCGAAGGCUUGGGUAUGACCAGAUUUCGAACCGGACCAAGGUUUGAUGAGUUUUGGGAGAGGGGAGAGGCUGCGAUUUCUGCAGCUGCAAAAUUCCUUUGCAUCUUCGAUGCAGAACACCUGUUCACAAAACAAGUUGAGGCGCGCUGCCUCCGCCAUGCCAUGAGGACAUGAGAUCGCGAUAAAACAGAGAGAGAAAGAGGAAAGACAAAGGCGCCAUGAUGGUAGAGUAAUCUUUGCAUUUGUCCAGCGCGCUCAUUUGCGUCAAUUGCAUCUUCCGCACCACGGAUCAAACCAUAACUCUGGGGACAAGCCACAAAGCGGCAUCCCCACCAUUUGCAAGGGAUGGAAUAACUUGGUCUCUAAUCCGCAGAGGCGGCAUACAAUUGAAACACGAUAAUAUAUAUUUCUAAAUGCCGAGAUGCAUGCCCUCACGAUCCCGUACGGAAUAGCAUCAGGGGGGAAAGUGUUUUGUACACCGCAGAUGCCCCUUUAAUAAGUAUCCAGAAUUUCAGGCAGCUGAUAAUGUGAUCCAUCUGAAGCCUGUGCGCCGCAAUUCUCACAAACUGUACAGAUUAAGCGAGACUCGGAUUGGAAGAACUGGAAGAUUGAAGGGUUUAUAUGGGCCAGCCAUUGCGCGAAGAAGAAUCAGUGGCAUUGAAGCGGAGGGCUGUUCCAUUGUUUAGCAGCGUUGAAAUAGUGUCCUUCAGGACACUAUUCGCUGAUGGCUUGAUGCCUCCGUUUUGAGCAUCACAAAAGAGAAAGAGGGGAAGGAAGGGAAAAGAAAAAGCAACCAUGGCGCAAAACUACUUCCUGCAUCUUGAGUGCAUAGCAAAAAGGUUGGAUCAGAGGCUUGAGUCAGUCCUUGCAAGAUGCGAUAAAUUUAAAUGGAAAUCUCAAUACCAGAGUCCUCACGGUGGAAGUUAUGGGGCCUGAUGCCUAACCUGACAGCCAAACUUUAGGCCUCAAGCCUCUAAACCGACCCCAACUGUCUAGGGGGCUUGGCAGCUGAUGUAUCCGUAUAAAUUUCUAGUCUGCGCAAGGACAUGUUUCAAGGCUUUUGAAGUCCCCAUUGCUGAAAAAAGAAUCGGUAGUUGCCAUCGGGCUCUUCGUCUACUACGUAGAAGCGACUGCUACAUGGUACAACAUCAUACGAUCCCCCAGAGUGGACUAUUUAAGUAGAGAUACUGGUAUGCAUUUCUGAGUUAACUGCUCCGCUAUUGGUGACUCUAGCGAAUUUAAUAAUUUUCUAUAACUACGCGGCGUAACUUAUACAUAUCAGAUAACUAGCUAAACGGUGCAGAAGGUGGCCCUAGGG